ACGGAAGGCAGCAGUGAGGAGUAUUGGUCAAUGGACGGAAGUCUGAACCAGCCAAGUCGCGUGCGGGAUGAAGGCCCUACGGGUCGUAAACCGCUUUUGUACGGGGAUAAAGUCACCCACGUGUGGGCGUUUGUAGGUACCGUAAGAAUAAGGAUCGGCUAACUCCGUGCCAGCAGCCGCGGUAAUACGGAGGAUCCGAGCGUUAUCCGGAUUUAUUGGGUUUAAAGGGUGCGCAGGCGGGCUGCUAAGUCUCCGGUGAAAUGUCAGGGCUCAACCUUGGCGCUGCCGGAGAUACUGGCGGCCUUGAGAGUGGCGGAGGUAUCCGGAAUGUGUGGUGUAGCGGUGAAAUGCAUAGAUAUCACACAGAACACCGAUUGCGAAGGCAGGAUACGAUGCCAUAUCUGACGCUCAGGCACGAAGGCGUGGGGAUCGAACAGGAUUAGAUACCCUGGUA
rnacentral:rRNA from 1 species